rnacentral:tRNA from 1 species
ACCUGGCUAGCUCAGUCGGGAGAACAUGUGACUCUGGAUCUCAGGGUUGUGAGUUCGAGCCCCAUGCUGGGUG